CAGCUAGCUCAUCAGAAAAAGCAUUAAUCAGCUAGCUCAUCAGAAAAAGUAUUAAUCAGCUAGCCAAUCAUUGCCAGCAAUUAGCUAGCCAAANAGNACCAGUUUUAAUUAGCUAGCCAAUCAAAAAAAACAUUAAUCAGCUAGCUCAUCAGAAAAAGUAUUAAUCAGCUAGCCAAUCA